GCAGCUUAGUGGCUGAGCAUCUGCUUUGCAUGCAGAAGGUCUCAGGUCCAACCCCUGGCAUCUCCA